rnacentral:rRNA from 1 species
AAAGAACGCAGGCGGCAUGCCUAACACAUGCAAGUCGAACGAGACCUUCGGGUGUAGUGGCGCACGGGUGCGUAACGCGAGGGAACCGGCCCUUAGGUUCGGAAUAACUCCCCGAAAGGGGUGCUAAUACCGGUGAAUGUCUUCGGACCAACGACUUAUCGCCCUGGGAUGGGCCCGCGUUCGAUGAGCUAGUUGGUAGGGUAAGAGCCUACCCAGGCGACGAUCCAUAGCUGGUCUGAGAGGAUGAUCAGCCACACUGUGACUGUGACACGGCCCAGACUCCUACGGGAUGCAGCAGUGGGGAAUCCUCGACACUGGGAGAAGGCCUCAUCCCGCAGUGCCACGUGAGCGAUGUACGCCUUAGCGUUGGAAAGCCUCUUUCCCCGGGAUCAUACUGCCAGUACCCGGAGAAUAAUCUCCGGCCACCUCCUUG